UUUUCCCCAAUUCUCACUCAGCCCUAAUUUCACAAAAUUCUCUCCUACACCGCCUGCAUCAACAAGAUUCACUCUCUUUGGUAUCCGAUCAUCGAUUGGCUUUCUCGUUCUAAGGUUAGCGUCUGCCGAUCCUUGUUUUGAUGGGUUUCAGGCCGACGAAUUCGCGGCGGAGUUGAUGGGCGGCCAUCGAUAUGCAUCGUCUGCGUAGCAGAGCGUGUGGAUGUCGUCGGCCCCUUCAGGUUAAGGAAAAGUCCCUCACUGAGAAUCCAACUGUACGUAUUUCAACGAAACAAUCCGCAGAGAGGAGUAAUAUUUUAAUCUGCACAUGCAAAAAAUCUAAAAAGGCUGCGGCGCCGCUAGACGGCGGUGGCUAGACUGGAGAAGGAAAUGCUGGUGCUGAUUUCGGGGGAACAGCUUUAUUGAAGUUUAUAGAUUGUUAUAGAGUUUGGUGUGGUGUAAGAAAAAGGGAAGUCUAGAAGAUGGAUGAGAACGAUAGCGGUGGACAUGGCAGCGAUAAGGGGUUGGGAGCUGAGGACGAGGGGAGCACCACUCCCGUCCCAGAAAGGGUGCAGGUUGGUGGUUCUCCUGCUUAUCGAGUAGAGAGGAAAUUGGGCAAAGGAGGAUUUGGGCAAGUGUAUGUAGGCCGUCGAGUUAACCCCCCAAAUCCAAAUGAAAGAACUGGUCCAGGAGCUGUAGAGGUUGCAAUGAAGUUUGAGCACUCCAGCAGCAAGGGUUGUAGUAAUGGACCACCAUAUGAAUGGCAAGUCUAUACUACACUUGGGGGCAGUCAUGGCAUACCGCGUGUUCAUUUCAAAGGUCGUCAGAAUGACUACUAUAUUAUGGUCAUGGAUAUGCUUGGCCCUAGUCUGUGGGAUGUCUGGAACAACAAUGCACACUUAAUGACCAUUGAAAUGGUGGCAUGCAUUGCUAUUGAAGCCAUUUCCAUUUUAGAGAAGUUGCACUCUAGAGGAUAUGUGCAUGGAGAUGUGAAGCCGGAAAACUUUUUGCUUGGUCCACCAGGAACACCUGAUGAGAAGAGACUUUUUCUGGUUGAUCUGGGAUUAGCCACUCGAUGGCGUGAUCUUUCAACUGGUGGUCAUGUUGAAUAUGAUCAACGGCCAGAUGUGUUCAGAGGAACAGUUCGUUACGCUAGUGUUCAUGCACAUCUUGGACGAACUGGUAGCCGUAGGGAUGAUUUAGAGUCCCUUGCAUAUACACUAAUUUUUCUUCUCCGAGGUCGGCUUCCUUGGCAAGGUUAUCAGGGCGAGAAUAAAAGCUUCCUUGUGUGCAAAAAGAAGAUGGCUUCUUCUCCAGAAGCACUUUGUUGCUUCUGGCCUGCCCCUUUCAGACAGUUUGUUGAGUAUGUAGUUAACUUGAAGUUUGACGAGGAGCCAAAUUAUGCAAAAUAUAUAUCCCUUUUUGAUGGAGUAGUUGGUCCAAAUCCCGAUAUCAGGCCACUGAACACUGAAGGUGCACAGAAGCUUAUAUAUCACGUGGGACAAAAGAGAGGUCGGCUUAUGGUGGAUAAUGAAGAUGAUGAGCAGCCAAAGAAAAAGGUUCGCAUGGGGAUGCCUGCAAACCAAUGGGUCAGUGUGUAUAAUGCUCGAAAACCUAUGAAGCAAAGAUAUCAUUACAAUGUUACGGAUGUGAGGCUUCCACAGCACAUUGUUAAAGGAACUGAGGAUGGAUUAUUUAUCAGUGCUGUGGCAUCUUGUUCGAACCUUUGGGCCUUAAUUAUGGAUGCGGGGACUGGCUUUUCUGCACAAGUUUACGAGUUAUCACCUUCUUUUCUUCGCAAGGAGUGGAUUAUGGAGCAGUGGGGGAAGAACUACUACAUUACUGCAGUUGCAGGGGCCAAUAAUGGGUGUUCAUUAGUAGUCAUGUCUAAAGGUGUCCAGUAUCUGCAGCAAUCUUACAAAGUCAGCGAGUCUUUUCCAUUUAAGUGGAUCAGCAAAAAGUGGAAGGAGGGGUUCUACGUGACUGCCAUGGCUACUGCUGGAAAUAAGUGGACAAUCAUUAUGUCUCGGGGGGCUGGGUUUUCUCACCAAGUUGUGGAGCUGGACUUUCUUUAUCCCAGCGAAGGAGUUCAUAGACGGUGGGAUGCUGGAUAUCGCAUAACAGCAACUGCAGCCACAGGUGAUCAAACUGCCCUUGUUCUUAGCAUUCCCAGAAGGAAACUUUCAGAUGAAACACAGGAGACUCUUCGGACUUCUGCUUUUCCGAGUGCACAUGUCAAGGAUAAAUGGGCCAAAAAUCUUUAUAUUGCGUCUGUGUGCUAUGGAAGAACUGUAUCUUGAGGAUCGAAACAUUGACAGAUUUUUUUGGGAAGUUUAUUGGGUAUUGACAAUGAGUAGCAAAUUUUCUCUUCAGAACCCAAUAUCACAUUUCGUCUUCUUCCAAGCUGACUCAUUGUGCCUUUUGAGACAUUGACAUGGGCUUACUUAUUCGAUCUUCUUAAGAGUUGGAGAUGCUGUUUCUGCUAAGCUAGCAAGCCCUGCCUCGACUUUUCGCUAAUGAUGUAUCAGCAAAUUCAAUUAAUAAAUUUCUAUUUUGCUGCAGACAUUGAUACUGGAUUUAUCCUAGCGGCAUUUUUCUUGUAGAUUUGAUUAGUCUCGGCAGUACGGCCAUAUUCGACAUUAUUUCAGUUCUUCAUGUGUCCUCGAGAACUAGACAUUGUUGUCUUGGUUCGUUGUUAUUCUUAUACUGUCACUGGAUGGCAAAUUAUUCCAAUCACCCGAGCUUGGGGGCACACAGAUGCACAUGCAUACCCGACCUUGCUAAUUUGGUUCGUAAUUUGGUUCGGAAUUUGGUUCGGAAUCGGGUGAAUAUCACCUGUUGUUACUAUAAUGAAACUGAAAGAUGCAAGUUCACUUCUCUGCUCUUGUACGACAAAUUCAGAAUUAUAUCUAAAUUGUUAUUAAAAAAAACCACUAACCAAAUACGUUAAAUAUAAGAAAAUUUUAAAUUUUUUGGGUUUAAAAAAAAAAAGUUAAAAAAAGUAAUAAUUUUUUACUUAAAAACAAAAUAGAAUAAAUUUA